AGCUACCAUGGUGUAGUGGUUUGAAUGUUAGACUAGGACUCCAAGAGACCAGGGAUCAAAUCCCUGCUUGGCUA
rnacentral:tRNA from 1 species